rnacentral:rRNA from 2 species
CUUCUCUGAUGUUAGCGGCGGACGGGUGAGUAACACGUGGAUAACCUACCUAUAAGACUGGGAUAACUUCGGGAAACCGGAGCUAAUACCGGAUAAUAUUUUGAACCGCAUGGUUCAAAAGUGAAAGACGGUCUUGCUGUCACUUAUAGAUGGAUCCGCGCUGCAUUAGCUAGUUGGUAAGGUAACGGCUUACCAAGGCAACGAUGCAUAGCCGACCUGAGAGGGUGAUCGGCCACACUGGAACUGAGACACGGUCCAGACUCCUACGGGAGGCAGCAGUAGGGAAUCUUCCGCAAUGGGCGAAAGCCUGACGGAGCAACGCCGCGUGAGUGAUGAAGGUCUUCGGAUCGUAAAACUCUGUUAUUAGGGAAGAACAUAUGUGUAAGUAACUGUGCACAUCUUGACGGUACCUAAUCAGAAAGCCACGGCUAACUACGUGCCAGCAGCCGCGGUAAUACGUAGGUGGCAAGCGUUAUCCGGAAUUAUUGGGCGUAAAGCGCGCGUAGGCGGUUUUUUAAGUCUGAUGUGAAAGCCCACGGCUCAACCGUGGAGGGUCAUUGGAAACUGGAAAACUUGAGUGCAGAAGAGGAAAGUGGAAUUCCAUGUGUAGCGGUGAAAUGCGCAGAGAUAUGGAGGAACACCAGUGGCGAAGGCGACUUUCUGGUCUGUAACUGACGCUGAUGUGCGAAAGCGUGGGGAUCAAACAGGAUUAGAUACCCUGGUAGUCCACGCCGUAAACGAUGAGUGCUAAGUGUUAGGGGGUUUCCGCCCCUUAGUGCUGCAGCUAACGCAUUAAGCACUCCGCCUGGGGAGUACGACCGCAAGGUUGAAACUCAAAGGAAUUGACGGGGACCCGCACAAGCGGUGGAGCAUGUGGUUUAAUUCGAAGCAACGCGAAGAACCUUACCAAAUCUUGACAUCCUUUUGACAACUCUAGAGAUAGAGCCUUCCCCUUCGGGGGACAAAGUGACA